rnacentral:rRNA from 1 species
UACGAAGGGUGCAAGCGUUACUCGGAAUUACUGGGCGUAAAGCGUGCGUAGGCGGUUUGUUAAGUCCGUUGUGAAAGCCCUGGGCUCAACCUGGGAAUUGCAGUGGAUACUGGCGAGCUAGAGUGCGGUAGAGGAUGGUGGAAUUCCCGGUGUAGCGGUGAAAUGCGUAGAGAUCGGGAGGAACACCCGUGGCGAAGGCGGCCAUCUGGACCAGCACUGACGCUGAGGAGCGAAAGCCAGGGGAGCAAACGGG